AUUGAACGCUGGCGGCAGGCCUAACACAUGCAAGUCGAACGAGUGGCGGACGGGUGAGUAAUGUCUGGGCAACUGCCUGAUGGAGGGGGAUAACUACUGGAACCGGUAGCUAAUACCGCAUACCAUCGGAUGUGCCCAGAUGGGAUUAGCUAGUGGGUGGGGUAAAGGCUCACCUAGGCGACGAUCCCUAGCUGGUCUGAGAGGAUGACCAGCCACACGGGAACGGAGACACGGUCCAGACUCCUACGGGAGGCAGCAGUGGGGAAUAUUGCACAAUGGGCGAAAGCCUGAUGCAGCCAUGCCGCGUGUAUGAAGAAGGCCUUCGGGUUGUAAAGUACUUUCAUCGGGGAGGCGUUACCCGCAGAAGAAGCAACGGCUAACUCCGUGCCAGCCGCCGCGGUAAUAC
rnacentral:rRNA from 1 species